rnacentral:rRNA from 1 species
GGGGGAUAUUGCGCAAUGGGGGCAACCCUGACGCAGCAACGCCGCGUGAAGGAUGAAGGUUUUCGGAUUGUAAACUUCUUUUAUUAAGGACGAAAAAUGACGGUACUUAAUGAAUAAGCUCCGGCUAACUACGUGCCAGCAGCCGCGGUAAUACGUAGGGAGCAAGCGUUGUCCGGAUUUACUGGGUGUAAAGGGUGCGUAGGCGGCUUUGCAAGUCAGAUGUGAAAUCUAUGGGCUCAACCCAUAAACUGCAUUUGAAACUGUAGAGCUUGAGUGAAGUAGAGGCAGGCGGAAUUCCCCGUGUAGCGGUGAAAUGCGUAGAUAUUAGGAGGAACACCAGUGGCGAAGGCGGAUUGCUGGACGAUAACUGACGGUGAGGCGCGAAAGUGUGGGGAGCAAACAGGAUUAGAUACCCUGGUAGUCCACACUGUAAACGAUGAAUACUAGGUGUGCGGGGACUGACCCCCUGCGUGCCGCAGUAAACACAAUAAGUAUUCCACCUGGGGAGUACGAUCGCAAGGUUGAAACUCAAAGGAAUUGACGGGGGCCCGCACAAGCGGUGGAUUAUGUGGUUUAAUUCGAAGCAACGCGAAGAACCUUACCAGGGUUUGACAUCCUGCUAACGAAGUAGAGAUACAUUAGGUGCCCUUCGGGGAAAGCAGAGACAGGUGGUGCAUGGUUGUCGUCAGCUCGUGUCGUGAGAUGUUGGGUUAAGUCCCGCAACGAGCGCAACCCCUAUUGUUAGUUGCUACGCAAGAGCACUCUAGCGAGACUGCCGUUGACAAAACGGAGGAAGGUGGGGACGACGUCAAAUCAUCAUGCCCCUUAUAUCCUGGGCUACACACGUAAUACAAUGGCGGUCAACAGAGGGAAGCAAAGCCGCGAGGCAGAGCAAACCCCCAAAAGCCGUCCCAGUUCGGAUUGUAGGCUGCAACUCGCCUGCAUGAAGUCGGAAUCGCUAGUAAUCGCGGAUCAGCAUGCCGCGGUGAAUACGUUCCCG